rnacentral:rRNA from 1 species
CGGCGGUUCUAUUUUGUUGGUUUCUAGAGCCACCGUAAUGAUUAAUAGGGAUAGUCGGGGGCAUCAGUAUUCAAUUGUCAGAGGUGAAAUUCUUGGAUUUAUUGAAGACUAACUACUGCGAAAGCAUUUGCCAAGGAUGUUUUCAUUAAUCAGUGAACGAAAGUUAGGGGAUCGAAGACGAUCAGAUACCGUCGUAGUCUUAACCAUAAACUAUGCCGACUAGGGAUCGGGCGGUGCUCAACUUAUGACCCGCUCGGCACCUUACGAGAAAUCAAAGUUUUUGGGUUCUGGGGGGAGUAUGGUCGCAAGGCUGAAACUUAAAGGAAUUGACGGAAGGGCACCACCAGAUGUGGAGCCUGCGGCUUAAUUUGACUCAACACGGGGAAACUCACCAGGUCCAGACACAUUAAGGAUUGACAGAUUGAGAGCUCCUUCUUGAUUAUGUGGGUGGUGGUGCAUGGCCGUUCUUAGUUGGUGGAGUGAUUUGUCUGCUUAAUUGCGAUAACGAACGAGACCUUAACCUGCUAAAUAGCCAGGCUAGCUUUUGCUGGUCGCCGGCUUCUUAGAGGGACUAUCGGCUCAAGCCGAUGGAAGUUUGAGGCAAUAACAGGUCUGUGAUGCCCUUAGAUGUUCUGGGCCGCACGCGCGCUACACUGACAGAGCCAACGAGUAUAAACCUUAACCGAGAGGUUUGGGUAAUCUUGUUAAACUCUGUCGUGC